rnacentral:rRNA from 1 species
UACAGAGACUGCAAGCGUUAUUCGGAUUCACUGGGCGUAAAGGGUGCGCAGGCGGUUGUGUGUGUCAGGUGUGAAAGCCCGGGGCUUAACCCCGGAAUUGCGCCUGAAACUACAUGACUAGAGCAUUGGAGAGGGUAGCGGAAUUCACGGUGUAGCAGUGAAAUGCGUAGAUAUCGUGAGGAACACCAGAGGCGAAGGCGGCUACCUGGACAAUUGCUGACGCUCAGGCACGAAGGCGUGGGGAGCAAAAGGG